CUUGGGGAGUACGUCCGCAAGGAUGAAACUUAAAGGAAUUGGCGGGGGAGCACCGCAACGGGAGGAGCGUGCGGUUUAAUUGGAUUCAACACCGGAAAACUCACCAGGAGCGACGGUUACAUGAAAGUCAGGCUGAUGACCUUACUCGAUUUUCCGAGAGGUGGUGCAUGGCCGUCGUCAGUUCGUACCGUAAGGCGUUCUCUUAAGUGAGAUAACGAACGAGACCCUCACUAAUAGUUGCUACUCCAUCCUCCGGGGUGGAGGCACACUAUUGGGACCGCUGGCGCUAAGUCAGAGGAAGGAGAGGUCAACGGUAGGUCAGUAUGCCCCGAAUCUCCUGGGCUACACGCGCGCUACAAAGGGCGGGACAAUGGGCUCCGACGCCGAGAGGCGAAGGUAAUCUCGAAACCCGUCCGUAGUUCGGAUUGAGGGUUGUAACUCACCCUCAUGAAGCUGGAUUCCGUAGUAAUCGCGAAUCAACAAUUCGCGGUGAAUAUGCCCCUGCUCCUUGCACACACCGCCCGUCAAACCACCCGAGUUGGGUUUCAGUGAGGCUGCCCUUUUAUGGGGUUGUCGAACUGAGAUUUAGCAAGGAGGGUUAAGUCGUAACAAGGUAUCU
rnacentral:rRNA from 1 species